GUAAGUCUGCGAUAAGCUUUGUGUGAAGUUUGUCAAACAGUAUCUGUGAUUACCAAGAUUUCCCCGGGUGAACUGAAACAUCUAAGGUACCGUAAUGGAGCCAAUCUGUAAAGAUGUCAUGUCCCGGGUGAACUGAAACAUCUAAGGUACCUUUUACAUCGAAAGAGGGAACCGGGGUGAACUGAAACAUCUAAGGUACC
rnacentral:rRNA from 1 species